rnacentral:tRNA from 1 species
GUCUCGGUAGUGUAAGGGAUAGAGCACGGUGCCCGGAAAGGACCAGUGCGGGUUCGAGUCCCGUCCGAGACU